GCUGGGCAUGGUGGCGCAUGCCUGUAAUCCCAGAGGCUUGGGAGGGUGAGGCAGGAGGAUCGCAAGUUCAUGAGCCAGUAACAGCAAUGCCAAGGUGCUAAGCAACUCAGUGAGACCCUGUCUCUA
rnacentral:sRNA from 1 species